rnacentral:rRNA from 1 species
UACGUAGGCAGCAAGCGUUGUUCGGAGUUACUGGGCGUAAAGGGUGCGUAGGCGGCCCUGUAAGUAGGGUGUGAAAGCCCUCGGCUUAACCGAGGAAUUGCGCUCUAAACUGUCGUGCUCGAGGAACCUAGAGGUGAGCAGAACAGAUGGUGGAGCGGUGAAAUGCGUUGAUAUCAUCUGGAAUACCGGAGGCGAAGGCGGCUCACUGGGGGUUUUCUGACGCUGAGGAACGAAAGCCAGGGUAGCGAACGGG